UUACUUACCUGGCAGGGGAAAUACCAUGAUCACCACAGUGGUUUUCCCAGGAUAGGAGAUAGUCACUUUGCUGGCAUGGGUAGUACCUACGGAGGUAAUGUAUAGUUACCCUCCCAUGUUCAUUUCCUGUGGAAGAUCUUGGCUUUACGCCCACUUUACGGAAAUGGGAGACUCCUCUCUAGCUUGUUCCUU
rnacentral:snRNA from 12 species